rnacentral:rRNA from 1 species
UACGUAGGGGGCUAGCGUUGUCCGGAAUCAUUGGGCGUAAAGCGCGCGUAGGCGGCCAGAUAAGUCCGGUGUGAAAGCCACAGGCUCAACCUGUGAAUGCCGCUGGAAACUGUCUGGCUAGAGUGCGGAAGAGGCGAGUGGAAUUCCUGGUGUAGCGGUGAAAUGCGCAGAUAUCAGGAGGAACACCUAUUGCGAAGGCAGCUCGCUGGGACGUAACUGACGCUGAGACGCGAAAGCGUGGGGAGCAAACAGG